GUACACCCAGUAAAAAGUUAUUACGGAUUUUCGAGAGUUUCCCUCGAUUCCUCUAGGAUCCCAUCAUCAGACCCUAGUUUCCUUAUCACGGUACCAAACUAGGAAUAUCCCCUUUCUAACAAAAAAAGAAUUAUCAAAAUCGGUACAUCCAGUAGAAAGUUAUGCGGUAUAAUACAACGUAGGUCGACGAAAAAAGCGUCAAGUAAAAGCGCAUUAUUAGAUAUAACUCGAAAAGUAGUUUUUAGAU
rnacentral:misc_RNA from 1 species